ACCUGAAGUGACAGACACAGUGGCAACAGAGCAGGGUGUGCCUGGUUGGGGCAUUGCCAUCCUGGUGCUGGCAGCCAUCAUACUUUUCUUCAUGCUUGUCCUGCUCAUACUGCUGCUGCUGUUUUGGUGCUGUUGGUGGAGACAGCGUGGCUUCAUGAAUGUGUCUGAUCCAGACCAAAUGGGCUAUUAUAACCCCGACAUUCCUAUGUACUCCACUUACAGCACGUAUGACUCACACAACGGCAAGUCACUGGAGUCAGGCUCCGAGAGACCUCCUAAAAAACAGACUGGAAUGUACGCAGUGAACAAGUGACGCGACACCCAGGGCUUCAAGUCAAAUGGUACAACUUUUGGAUUAAACAACAAAAGCCACAUCAUAAUUUACUCACCACGACUCAGCAACAACAAUCAGGUGCUGUUUGGCUCUCCUGCUCUACCU